ACACAGAUGAAGAUGACAUCUAUGGAAUCUUUUCCUUGCAAUUGAUGCAUUCUUUAGUCCAGUAAUAUCAUCUCACUUUGUAUCCAAGAGAUUCUCUCUGUUCAUGUAGAAUUCAGCCAAACACUACAAUGGAUGUGGAAUAAAUGAGCAACAAAUAUUGAAUUAAUAAAUAAACAUCACACUUUCUGAUGAGGCUAGAGGCUGUCACUUGAUAGCAGAGGAUAAAGAGAAGAAGAAAAGCAGGAACUACUUUCGGCUGGUAAGCAGAUCUUACAGUACAGUAGUUAAGCAUAUAAUGUUUGGAGCCUGACAGAUAUGGGCACAAAUCUCAAGUCCACAACUGUGUGAACGUUGACUUGUGAGAAGAUCCAAAUUUGCUUUGCCUUUGCCUUCCACCAUGACUGUAAGUUGCCUGAGUCCUCCCUGGCCAUAUGGACCUAAUCUCGCUCUGCCACCCAGGCUGGAGUGCAGUGGUAUGAUCCUGGUUCAUUGCAACCUCUGCCUUCCAGAUUCAAGCAAUUCUCCUGCCUCAGCCUCCCAAGUAGCUG
rnacentral:lncRNA from 1 species